rnacentral:rRNA from 1 species
CGCCUCACCGCGUGCACUGGUUCGGCCGGGGCUUCACCUUCUGCGGAACCGCAUCUCCUUCACUGGGGGUGUCGGGGAAACAGGACGUUUACUUUGAAAAAAUUAGAGUGCUCCAGGCAGGCCUAUGCUCGAAUACAUUAGCAUGGAAUAAUGGAAUAGGACGCGUGGUCUUAUUUCGUUGGUUUCUAGGACCGCCGUAAUGAUUAAUAGGGACAGUCGGGGGCAUCAGUAUUCAAUCGUCAGAGGUGAAAUUCUUGGAUCGAUUGAAGACUAACUACUGCGAAAGCAUUUGCCAAGGAUGUUUUCAUUUAUCAGGAACGAAAGUUAGGGGAUCGAAGACGAUCAGAUACCGUCGUAGUCUUAACCAUAAACUAUGCCGACUAGGGAUCGGACGGUGUUAUUUCUUGACCCGUUCGGCACCUUACGAGAAAUCAAAGUGCUUGGGCUCCAGGGGGAGUAUGGUCGCAAGGCUGAAACUUAAAGAAAUUGACGGAAGGGCACCACCAGGGGUGGAGCCUGCGGCUUAAUUUGACUCAACACGGGGAAACUCACCAGGUCCAGACACAACGAGGAUUGACAGAUUGAGAGCUCUUUCUUGAUUUUGUGGGUGGUGGUGCAUGGCCGUUCUUAGUUGGUGGAGUGAUUUGUCUGCUUAAUUGCGAUAACGAACGAGACCUUAACCUGCUAAAUAGUCCGUAU